rnacentral:rRNA from 1 species
CCCUUAGAUGUUCUGGGCCGCACACGCGCUACACUGAAGGAGGCAGCGUGUACUCCUGGAUCGAAAGAUUUGGGUAACCCGCGAAUCUCCUUCGUGCUAGGGAUUGAGGUUUGCAAUUAUCCUUCAUGAACGAGGAAUUCCCAGUAAGUGCAAGUCAUAAGCUUGCGCUGACUACGUCCCUGCCCUUUGUACACACCGCCCGUCGCUACUACCGAUUGAAUGGUCCGGUGAAAUCUCGGGACGGCGGCUUGGUCGCUUGCGUCCGACUGCUGAAACUUGAUUAAACCAUAUCAUUUAGAGGAAGGUGAANUCGUANCA